GUGUCAGCCGCCGCGGUAAGACGGAGGAUGCAAGCGUUAUCCGGAAUGAUUGGGCGUAAAGCGUCCGCAGGUGGCAAUUCAAGUCUGCUGUUAAAGCGCAGGGCUUAACUCUGUAAAGGCAGUGGAAACUGAAUAGCUAGAGUGUGGUAGGGGCAGAGGGAAUUCCCAGUGUAGCGGUGAAAUGCGUAGAGAUUGGGAAGAACAUCGGUGGCGAAGGCGCUCUGCUGGACCAUAACUGACACUCACAGGACGAAAGCUAGGGGAGCGAAUGGGAUUAGAUACCCCAGUAGUCCUAGCCGUAAACGAUGGAUACUAGGUGUUGUCUGUAUCGACCCGGACAGUGCCGUAGCUAACGCGUUAAGUAUCCCGCCUGGGGAGUACGCACGCAAGUGUGAAACUUAAAUGAAUUGACGGGG
rnacentral:rRNA from 1 species